rnacentral:tRNA from 1 species
GCAUUCGUGGUGUAGUGGUCAGCACGCUGGGCGCAUAUUCUAGAGAUCCGUGGUUCGAGUCCCGGCAAAGGUG